rnacentral:rRNA from 1 species
AGCGAACGCUAGCGGCGGGCCUAACACAUGCAAGUCGAGCGGGGGAGCAAUCCCCAGCGGCGGACGGGUGAGUAACACGUAGGUUAUGUGCCCUUUGGUGGGGAAUAACCGUGGGAAACCAUGGCUAAUUCCGCAUAUCGAGCGAAAUCUUGAAAGCCUUUCGGGCGCCAAAAGGAGCAACCUGCGGCCCAUUAGCUUGUUGGUAGGGUAACGGCCUACCAAGGCGAUGAUGGGUAGCUGGUCUGAGAGGAUGAUCAGCCACACUGGAACUGAGACACGGUCCAGACUCCUACGGGAGGCAGCAGUGGGGAAUAUUGCGCAAUGGGCGAAAGCCUGACGCAGCCACGCCGCGUGAGUGAUGAAGGCCUUCGGGUCGGUAAAACUCUGUCGGGAGGGACGAAGGGGCGAACCCUGACGGUACCUCGCAAGAAAGCACCGGCUAACUCUGUGCCAGCAGCCGCGGU